rnacentral:rRNA from 1 species
GCAUCUGUGCAUGCAGCAUAUCAAUAAGCGGAGGAAAAGAAACUAACAAGGAUUCCCCUAGUAACGGCGAGUGAAGCGGGAAGAGCUCAAAUUUGAAAUCUUAAAGGGUUUCCCUUUACGAAUUGUAGUUUAAAGAAGUGUUUUCUGUUGAGGUUUUGGUAAAAGUUCUUUGGAAUAGGACAUCAUAGAGGGUGAGAAUCCCGUAUUUGACCUUUACUUUCAACUUUGUGAUACACUUUCAAAGAGUCGGAUUGUUUGGGAAUGCAGUCCAAAAUGGGUGGUAAAUUUCAUCUAAAGCUAAAUAUUGGCGAGAGACCGAUAGCGAACAAGUACCGUGAGGGAAAGAUGAAAAGAACUUUGAAAAGAGAGUUAAACAGUACGUGAAAUUGUCAAAAGGGAAGCGUUUGACACCAGUGUUGUUUUUCUGAAAAUCAAUUAAAGAACUGUUUAUGCUAAGCUUGUUUAGACUUUAUCAGCUAUCUGUUUAGUUUUGAGCUUUUCUUUAAUGCACUUUUCAGUUAACAAGUCAACAUCAAUUUCUUUUGCUGUAAAAAAGCUUGAGGAAGGUGGCUUGAGAUUCGUCUUAAGUGUUUAUAGCCUCUUGCCUAUGUAGAUCGGAGAGAUUGAGGUCUGCAGCGUAGAUCCUUCGGGGCUAAAUGCAUUUGUGCUAAGUUAUAGCAUUUCAUAGACAACUUGUUGACUAUGAUUUGUCUUGUAGCUUACUCGCUUAUGUUAUUUUACCUACGCUUAGGAUGUUGACAGCAGUAUAGACUGU